AUUCUAAUUGGCUGAGCUGCGUGUCCACGUGACCGAUUGAACCGCCCACCUGGGUCUUCCAGCUGCCUAUCAAACGCACAGCCCGGUAGGGCCCGGGGGAGGAACAGCCAAGAGGGAGGCCGGGCCAGGGGCUGGUGGCUUCCUCCGCGAGCUCUGCCAGUUUCUGGCCUCAGGUCCUGAGUUGUUAUCGCAAGUCCAGGAAGAAUGAGGUUACUCAGGCAACUGGAGGGUGAGGAUGGAGAAGAGCUUUAUUGAGCAACAGAACAGCUCUCAGCAGAGAGGAGACCCAAAGUGGGUAGCUCCUACCUGCAGGAAGAAGUAAUCAAAUUUUCUUGCCAAUUGUGUCUUUAACCAUGGCUGAUCUAAGACUGUUGCCAUCCACAGACAAUUAUUGUUUUACUUUUUGAUUCUUCUCAAAAAGAGGUUCAUAAUCAGCUGUAGACCAAAAUUUGCUUCUAUAUGGAAAUUCAUGGAAAAGACUCUGACAAGUAUUCUUAAAUACAGGUUUCUGAAGGGGGCCAAGAUGGCCCAAUAGGAACAGCUCCAGUCUGCAGCUCCCAGAAAGACCAACGCAGAAGGCAGGUGAUUUCUGCAUU